rnacentral:rRNA from 1 species
AACGAACGCUGGCGGCAUGCCUAACACAUGCGAGUCGAACGAGACCUUCGGGUCUAGUGGCGCACGGGUGCGUAACGCGUGGGAACCUGCCCUUAGGUUCGGAAUAACUCCCCGAAAGGGGUGCUAAUACCGGAUAAUGUCUUCGGACCAAAGAUUUAUCGCCUUUGGAUGGGCCCGCGUUGGAUUAGCUAGUUGGUAGGGUAAAAGCCUACCAAGGCGACGAUCCAUAGCUGGUCUGAGAGGAUGAUCAGCCACACUGGGACUGAGACACGGCCCAGACUCCUACGAGAGGCAGCAGUGGGGAAUAUUGGACAAUGGGCGAAAGCCUGAUCCAGCAAUGCCGCGUGAGUGAUGAAGGCCUUAGGGUUGUAAAGCUCUUUUACCCGGGAUGAUAAUGACAGUACCGGGAGAAUAAGCUCCGGCUAACUCCGUG